AAUGAACGCUGGCGGCAUGCCUAACACAUGCAAGUCGAACGAUACCUCCGGGUCUAGUGGCGCACGGGUUCGUAACGCGUUGGAUCCUGCCUUUGUGAUCGGCACAACUCCCUGAAAGGGGUGCGAAUACCGGAUAAUGUUUUCGGACCAAAGACUUAUCGCCUUUGGAUGGGCUCGCGUGGGAUUUGCUAGUUGGUAGGGUAAAAGCCUUCCGAGGCGACGUUUCAUAGCUGGGCUGAGAAGAUGCCCAGCCACACUGGGACUGCGACACGGCCCAGACUCCUACGGGAGGCAGCAGUGGGGAACAUUGGACGAUGAGCGAAAGCCUGAUGCCGCAGUGCCGCGUAAGAGAUGAAGGCCUUUGUGUUGCACAGCUCUUUUAGCCGGGAUGAUAAUGACAGUACCGGGAGAAUAAGCACCGGCUAACUACGUG
rnacentral:rRNA from 1 species